CUGCCUGUUAUCUGAGUGACUCUGUGUUUUGGAGUCUGCCUCCGAGUGUGUGCGUCAGAGUGUGUAUGUUGGAGGGAGAAAAGAGAUAAAGAGAGAGAGAGAAAGGGAGGGAGAGGCAAGCAGCGUUUCUUCUCCCCCCUUUAGCCUCCCCGUCUCCCUGCUCCUUGUCACUCCAUCCUUCCUUCCCUCUCCUGGACCACCCUCCAGCCCUGCUUCGAGCCAGACCAAGACCCCCCUACCACCCAGACCGCCCCGGGACCCUUUGACUCUCCUCACUUCUCCGUCCCAGCAACCACCACCUCUGAGCAGGGAUUCCUCUCCUGUCCUCUUUUCCCCCGGGGUGCUGUCUGUGAUCUCAUCGGCAAAAUCUCCACUUAAUCUGAUCUGAAUAAGCUUCUGCAGGCCAGCUGUAGCCAAGUAAGUGGUCACGUUCCUUUGGUCGCUUUGAUUAUUCUAAAUACAUACAGUAAAUAGUUUAAUUUGUAUCAUCUCCACAACCUGCAUCAUAAUCCACUUUGACUUUUCACCUAGCCCUUUUAUGGUCUUUAAACUUGGUUUGUAAUUGUGGAAACCCAACUAAAGAACAGCAAUGUGAUAGAGUUAAUAGAGUUAAAUGAAGCCGCUCUGAAUUAUCAAGCGUAUUAAUCCAUUAAAGAGAGGUUAAGUAAGCCCCGGGGACAGAUUUCCACAGGUUAAUAAAAAUUGCCAAUGAUUCAGAGCCUGUGUUAAUCAUUAUAAAUCACAUGACACUCACAAAUACAUAUCCUAUGUCCUGCUCCUGAUACAAGAAAAGGCUUUGUCAUCAGAAGCCAUAAAAAAAACAACAACAACACACAUCCAGAAAAAUAAUACGUAUAGCAUUUUUGCAG
rnacentral:lncRNA from 1 species